UACGGAGGAUGCGAGCGUUAUCCGGAUUUAUUGGGUUUAAAGGGUGCGCAGGCGGGCUGUUAAGCCGGCGGUAAAAAUUCAGGGCUCAACCCUGUCGAGCCGUCGGAACUGGCAGUCUUGAGUGGGCGAGAAGUAUGCGGAAUGCGUGGUGUAGGCGGUGAAAUGCAUAGAUAUCACGCAGAACUCCGAUUGCGAAGGCAGCAUACCGGCGCUCAACUGACGCUGAGGCACGAAAGCGUGGGGAUCGAACAGG
rnacentral:rRNA from 1 species